rnacentral:rRNA from 1 species
AACGAACGCUGGCGGCAUGCCUAACACAUGCAAGUCGAACGAGACCUUCGGGUCUAGUGGCGCACGGGUGCGUAACGCGUGGGAACCUGCCCUUAGGUUCGGAAUAACUCCCCGACAGGGGUGCUAAUACCGGAUAAUGUCUUCGGACCAAAGAUUUAUCGCCUUUGGAUGGGCCCGCGUUGGAUUAGCUAGUUGGUAGGGUAAAAGCCUACCAAGGCGACGAUCCAUAGCUGGUCUGAGAGGAUGAUCAGCCACACUGGGACUGAGACACGGCCCAGACUCCUACGGGAGGCAGCAGUGGGGAAUAUUGGACAAUGGGCGAAAGCCUGAUCCAGCAAUGCCGCGUGAGUGAUGAAGGCCUUAGGGUUGUAAAGCUCUUUUACCCGGGAUGAUAAUGACAGUACCGGGAGAAUAAGCUCCGGCUACUCCGUG